rnacentral:rRNA from 1 species
AACGAACGCUGGCGGCAUGCCUAACACAUGCAAGUCGAACGAGACCUUCGGGUCUAGUGGCGCACGGGUGCGUAACGCGUGGGAACCUGCCCUUAGGUUCGGAAUAACUCCCCGAAAGGGGUGCUAAUACCGGAUAAUGUCUUCGGACCAAAGAUUUAUCGCCUUUGGAUGGGCCCGCGUUGGAUUAGCUAGUUGGUAGGGUAAAAGCCUACCAAGGCGACGAUCCAUAGCUGGUCUGAGAGGAUGAUCAGCCACACUGGGACUGGGACACGGCCCAGACUCCUACGGGAGGCAGCAGUGGGGAAUAUUGGACAAUGGGCGGAGGCCUGAUCCAGCAAUGCCGCGUGAGUGAUGAAGUCCUUAAGGUUGUAAAGCUCUUUUACCCGGGAUGAUAAUGACAGUACCGGGAGAAUAAGCUCCGGCUAACUCCGUG